CAGUCCGUGGAAACAAUCAAGUCUCUCUUAUUUUAGCUGUGCUGAGCAGAGAACAUUUCUGGGUCAGGGAUGGGGACCCAGCGUAUUUCCCAACAGCUGGAGGAGCAGGCCAAGACAAAGAUAUGCAAACCACUAAUGAGCUCAUAACAGCAAACAGAAAAGAGGAAGAUCAGAGUGAAGCAGCUUGAAGCUGAGGGCCAGAUUUUCUCAGUUCUGAAGUUGAAAAGCCACAUUCACAAAAUACCUGACAGUGCUGUGAAUGUCAAUAGGACUGCAGUGGGCUAUCAGAAGUGUUGCACUGCUCCUUCUUCAAAUUGGUACCAGCAAGAGGUCUACACUGAAGCCGUUAUGUAGUGAGGAAUAUCUGAGAGCAGAAGUCCUGUGA
rnacentral:lncRNA from 1 species